CGAUACCAGCAUACGGAUUAAUGUAACCACAAUGCAACUCAGCAAAUCCAAAAUAGGAUACCUAGACAUCGAAAUAACCAUCACCAACAACAUCUUAACAACAGCGGUCCACAGAAAACCACUCUACCAACCAGUCAUCAUACCAAACUGGUCCCCAGACACACCAUCGUUCAAAAAGGCUGCAUUCAGAGCAUUUUUCAACAGAGCAUACAAGUACUGCACGACAGAUGAGAAGCUUAAAGAGGAACUUGAAUACAUAUACAAAAUAGGUAAAAAAACAUGGAUACAAACUAGGCUUCAUAAAAUCCGUAGAAGAAAAAAUAAA
rnacentral:lncRNA from 1 species